ACUGUGCAAUAUGAACAUUAGAGAAAACGGCUACAAACAUAUGGAUACAAAUUCGGAAUGAACAGUAACUGCCAAGCUGAGAGGCUUGCCAACAUCACAACCCUAGAGCGAGGCUUGGAACACAAGGAAGUAAAGCUACAGCUCAAGAUAAUUUCAAUCUGACGGCACUCCAGGUGAGAGUGUCCGACCGAUCUGUUAAUCCUUUUUUUUUUCAAAUUAGUUUUUUUUUUUUCUCUUGUAUCUUUAUGGACAUAAGUUACAUACUACCCUACGUGAUAGCUACGUAACAAACACAGAUGUAGAAGAUUCCCCAAUUAGGAGGGUAUAUAAACAGAAGCUAGGAACCAGGAACUCUCACAACGCUGAUCCGGCUGACGAAGCCACAUCUAGUGGUGAAACACGUACUGGUAUGUUUUCUUAUAGACAUUGUUCUUAAUUUUAUUUAUGUACUUUUUAAUACCAAUUAAUAAAUGUAUUUAAGCUUUUAUUUGGUUCCUGGCUUUAAAAAGAUUUAAAGGGGGAGUGUAGCCCUAUACCGACACAAUACGCUACUACAGAGCCACAGGGGCUCUGUGUUUGUAAGUACUCAAUUGGCACUUAUUUCCAUAUAUUCCUUAACCAUACUGUACUACCCUAUUGUGUGUUUAUAUACUUUCCCUUAGGACGGAACACACAUUCCAUAUAGGAGUGGGUCGCCUAAACGGACCCAGAAGCGUUCCACACUGGAGCUAGGUUUUAUAGCUCCUUGUUUGUGAGUGUUUUAUUUAUAAACUCCAUUUUAUCAUUGCUAUCUCUAUAUUUAUAAACUGCACCAUGUGGUAUUAUUUGUGUCUAUUUUAGGUCUGAAAAAUUCUAACUUUGUUAAACUACCAUAACCACUGUUAUUAAGGUAAACGUUUCGUAUUUUAAAGCGCUACACUUCUGAAUCUUUUAUAUCUUGUUGGUGUUUGUGGAGAAGUCGCACUUCUUGGUGUCAGCUGCUAUUAUUACAUAUACUGUUUGGAGAUUAUACUCUUAAAAUUUUUUUUUUAUUAUUUUUAUAUAAGCGCUAAUACCCUUUGUCCUUUUUCAACUAUUUUUAUCUGCUGUUCCUUUUUUCUAGGAGCUCCGUAUGUAUGAAGUGUACAAGUGUAAUAAAUGUUUUAAAUUGUAAUAAAUAUAUUUGGAACGUAGCUUGCCACGAGCUGGAACAGACGCCAUUCCUGGAAGCUCCGUGCGGCAGCAAAUUGCUGACUCGCACCUGCCAAAGGAGACAAACCAGUUCUUCUCCACCCGCACGAGUCACAGGCUAGUCAUACGACAAAUGCGCACAAACAGCGGCGCAGAUCCUACUACACUCCGGCCCUAGCUAGCUGGAAGUCACUCCUCAGCAGCCCUGAGGGACCGUACCAAGCAGACUGGCCUACCCUGCCUCAGACCAAGCACACGCUGGAAAUGGGGCGCCGUUCCCAAAAGCCUGGAGCUGGGUACAGCUUCCAUUACUCCAUCAGGGAAACGGUGGUCACAGGCAACCACAGCUUCCCAAACUGAUCAACCCUCCCACAUGGCCUCUACAGAUGGCUCUGCACCAACCACUAAACACAAUCUUCAAGAUAUCCACAAGAUGUCUGCUGCUGAUACUGCUGCCAUCAGAGCAGAUAUACAAAACAUCACAACUAGUCCGGGCUAUGGAGAAAGACAUAACAGAAAUACAUCCCGAUAUGUCUACCAUGCAAGGUACUAUACAACAACUUCAAUCAAACAAACAAACGCUGUCUGUUCAGAUGUCUGCAAUUGAAGACAAAAGCCGAUGCAAUCACAUUAAAAUCAGAGGCGUACCUGCCACCAUCACAACUGAAGAGCUACUACACUACUUGAGGCGCCUACUUGCAUCUGUCCUACCCCCGGCUGUGGCUACGAAGAUUGUCCUGGAUGGAGUAUAUCGUCUACCCUCCUCAUUUAAGUCCCCAGCUAAUCCUGUACGCGACAUCAUCCUGCGAUGCACCUCAUCCCAAGACAAGGGACACAUCAUGACAUCAUGACAAAACACCACUCACUUUUGAGGACUCUCAACUGUCCUUUUAUCAGGACCUCACCGGAGCCACACUACAAUGGCGCAAGUCUCUCGGUGAGAUCACACAACGUCUGUGAGUUGCUGGAGUCCCAUACAGGUGGGGAGCUGCACAAUCCAUGAUGGUGGUCCACACUGGAACUACUCACACAAUCUCCUUAGCGACAGAUACCUCAACGCUGCUCUCCACACUGGGACUUGCAGAGCCACUGCCAAGCAUGGCCCAGCAAGCAUUGACCAGCACCUGUGAAUCUUAUCCAGCUACAGUGACCCCCUUCAUCCCAAGGACUCUGGAGGGGAACAGUCCUGACACCUGACUGGGGCUUGAGCUAAAGCAGACCAUGGGGGUCCUGCAGAGUAUUUUGAAACCACCUUACCUUACUGUUAUUUUAUUGUUACAUUAAUUUUACUUUAUUUUAUCUUGUUACAACUAUUAUAGCAACUCGAUAACCUUGGCAGGCACCCUAACUCACCUCCCAUCAAUUGUGGGCAGUGGCAGAGUACUAGGCGGAGCAAGUCUCUAGAUGGCGCUUUAAGUGGAACCCUAGUAGUUGGCAGGGAAUACUUCCCCAUCCCCCUCGGCUCGGUUAGGGGCACCACUCACCGCAAAGGCAUAAACCAUUGCAACGCACAGGGUUAAUAUUUCGGAUGCUCCUCUUCUAGUUUGACCCGCCCUUAGCCUGGAGGAAUCCCUACUAUGGUACCUAAUGCCCUGCAUAUACAAAACUCUAGAUAACGAUAUAUAUCUCUUUAUCACCCUAUGUAACUCAAUCUACUUUUUGGACUCGCAUACCUCUAUAGCGUAUAGCGCUAAGCAACCUAGCCCAUAGGAAUUCAUGCCUACACACUCCUACUAACUCUUCAAAGAACGUUACAUCCUAGGUCUAGGCCACAGUACUUGCUUUAAAAAAAAAAAAAAAUAAGUGCAUAAGACAGAUAUUUAAGUGAAAGUUUGAACAUUGUAUUGCUUGAUUUGCCAAUAUGUUUGAUUUUCUCUAUUUGUUCAUUCAUGUGCAUAAUUCCUGCACUGCAAAAAUAAAGAAUUAUAAAAUAUAUAUAUAUAUAUACUUCCAAAGUAGUUUGUAUAGCCAUCGGUAGUAUUUCAUGCAGUUACUAUUCUGAAAUAGUCCUUCCUUUGGCUACAGCUUAUAAUUAUUGACUUUCAAUUUUCUGUAAAAAAUUUGAAAAUAUGUUCGUAUGGAUUUUUUUUUAAAUUAACUUUUAUUGAAAUAAUUCGUUAUGACUUCAUAGGAUUUGAAAAGUAAAACGUUUUGCUUUAUCUUUUAAUAUCCACAAUGAAUAUUUUUGCUCAUUAAAUUUAAAUUUCUGUCAACAGGUUACUAAUCCUACUCAGAAAAUAACGGGAAAUAUAGAG